GAUGAAGAACGCAGCGAAAUGCGAUACGUAAUGUGAAUUGCAGAAUUCAGUGAAUCAUCGAAUCUUUGAACGCAUAUUGCGCUCUUUGGUAUUCCGAAGAGCAUGCUUGUUUGAGUAUCAGUAAACACCUCAAAAGACUUUCAUUUUUGAAAUGAUUUUGGACUUGAGCAAUCCCAACACCAGUCUUCACGGAUCGGCGGAGGGUUGCUUGAAAUGCAGGUGCAGCUGGACAUUCUCCUGAGCUAAAAGCAUAUCUAUUUAGUCCCGUCAAGCGGAUUAUUACUUUUGCUGCAGCUAACAUAAAGGGAGUUUGACCAUUUUGGCUGACUGAUGCAGGAUUUCACAAGGGUCGGUAAAACGAUUUUUGUAAAACUCGAUCUCAAAUCAAGUAAGACUACCCGCUGAACUUAAGCAUAUCAAUAAGCGGAGGA
rnacentral:misc_RNA from 1 species